ACUACGGGAGGCAGCAGUGAGGAAUAUUGGUCAAUGGGAGGAAUCCUGAACCAGCCAUGCCGCGUGCAGGACGACGGCUCUACGAGUUGUAAACUGCUUUUAUACCGGGGUAAAAUGCUCUACGUGUAGGGUUUUGUAAGUACCGUACGAAUAAGGAUCGGCUAACUCCGUGCCAGCAGCCGCGGUAAUACGGAGGAUCCGAGCGUUAUCCGGAUUUAUUGGGUUUAAAGGGGGCGUAGGUUGUUUUAUAAGUUAGCUGUGAAAUAUCGAUGCUCAACAGCGGGACUGCCGCUGAUACUGUAAGACUAGAGUACGGUAGAGGUAGGCGGAAUGUGUGGUGUAGCGGUGAAAUGCAUAGAUAUUACGAAGAACACCGAUUGCGAAGGCAGCUUGCUAGGCCGGAUCUGACACUGAUGCACGAAAGCGUGGGGAUCGAACAGGAUUAGAUACCCGAGUAGUC
rnacentral:rRNA from 1 species